UGCUAAGAAAAGUAGGUUAACAAAUGGAGAGAAGACAGUAGCAGAAUAUAAGGUUCUAUGAGGAAAAAAGGCCAGCAGGUGCAAUAGAAGAAAAUGAGAUUGGGAAAUAGAGUGAAGGAAGGAAACUACAGAUGAGGAGCCUGAACUCUUAAAACUGGGCCAGCCUUGCAAGGAGGAUUCUGGCAGAUGUGGGGGGUGUUUCAACACAUGAGCCUACUCCUGGAGAAUGUGUUUCAAAAAAUAUGAAUAGCUAAAAAUGUGAAAAGAAAUCAUAAUGGACAGAACUUUAGUUGACUCUCAAUGAGCCUCGUCCUUGUAAAAUCCCUUCCUGGCUGAAUGUGAGUAGAAGCAUUGAUGGUGAGUGACAUAAUUCUCAUG
rnacentral:lncRNA from 1 species